rnacentral:rRNA from 1 species
AGGGUGUAAACGCUGCAGACUUGGUGUUGGAAAUCCUUCGAGGGUAUUCAGUGCCGGAGAGAAGUUGUUAAGUCUGCUACUUGGGGAGUACGUCCGCAAGGAUGAAACUUAAAGGAAUUGGCGGGGGAGCACCGCAACGGGAGGAGCGUGCGGUUUAAUUGGACUCAACGCCGGAAAGCUCACCGGAUAAGACAGCGGAAUGAUUGCCGGGCUGAAGACUCUGCUAGAUUUUCAGAGAGGUGGUGCAUGGCGUAGACGUCU